UACGGAGGGGGCAAGCGUUAUUCGGAAUUAUUGGGCGUAAAGGGCGCGUAGGCGGCUUUUCAAGUGACGGGUGAAAUCCCUCGGCUUAACCGAGGAACUGCCUGUCAGACUGGAAGGCUUGAGACCGGGAGAGGUGAGUGGAAUUCCCAGUGUAGCGGUGAAAUGCGUAGAUAUUGGGAGGAACACCAGUGGCGAAGGCGGCUCACUGGACCGGAACUGACGCUGAGGCGCGAAAGCGUGGGGAGCAAACAGG
rnacentral:rRNA from 1 species